rnacentral:rRNA from 1 species
CUACGGGGCGCUGCAGUGGGGAAUAUUGCACAAUGGGCGCAAGCCUGAUGCAGCCAUGCCGCGUGUAUGAAGAAGGCCUUCGGGUUGUAAAGUACUUUCAGCGGGGAGGAAGGGAGUAAAGUUAAUACCUUUGCUCAUUGACGUUACCCGCAGAAGAAGCACCGGCAAACGUCCGUGCCAGCAGCCGCGGUAAUACGGAGGGUGCAAGCGUUAAUCGGAAUUACUGGGCGUAAAGCGCACGCAGGCGGUUUGUUAAGUCAGAUGUGAAAUCCCCGGGCUCAACCUGGGAACUGCAUCUGAUACUGGCAAGCUUGAGUCUCGUAGAGGGGGGUAGAAUUCCAGGUGUAGCGGUGAAAUGCGUAGAGAUCUGGAGGAAUACCGGUGGCGAAGGCGGCCCCCUGGACGAAGACUGACGCUCAGGUGCGAAAGCGUGGGGAGCAAACAGGAUUAGAUACCCUCGUAGUC